UUAAGCACAUAUAGGCGACGAGAAAGGCCGGUGAGGGCAGCCCGAUGAAGUUAAUUGUUUAUACGAUGAUUGUUGAGUGUGAAAGGAAACGAGAAAGACGGAAGACAACGAGGGACGGCGAAGGAACACGAAAGACGACGAUAGGCAACGAAGAGUCGAGUACAGCGUGUUCUUCGCUAAUUACGACGGUUGUAAUCACGGCGUUAAGAGUAAUACCUAAUAUCUUGUGGCGAUAGAUUGUGAAUUUAGAUUAUAGAUUAAUAAAUAAUAAAUCAAAAAAUCUUACUCACGUUUUCGCGGAUUACGCUGCCGUACAGCGCAACCGGUCUUUGCGAAAAACUUCUCCGUACCGAAAGGGAUAGACAGGAAAGAGACAUAAAAUUAAAAAAUAACUAUAAUAAACUGCUAAACGAAAUCGUCCUCGAACGAGCUAGGAUAAAACGAGACUCGCCUGCGUUACGGCAGCAACUGUUGGUGUCGGUGCAGUAGAUUUCUUCCUUUGGAAUGAAUUAAUAAGUGAAUGAAUGAUGGUGCUUCGUGGGUUUUUAUAGUAAGAAGAUGAUUGCUAUCCCUUCUCUAGGUUGACUGACCAAUAGCAGGCAAGUCCACCCCCAUAGUCAAUAGAUGCAGAAGGUUAACAUUUUUCGUAGAUGUAAUGGAAACCAUGUGGCGAAAAAAACUCAUACCUGGGUUGUUUGCAUGUUUUGUUUGCUAGUUUUAUGACUUCCAGGAAUGUGCGAUGAUAUUCUCUCUGCAUCUUAAGUUAUAGGCAAAUUGUUGAUCCAAAAAUUUGUUCCCUUAUCGGUGAGACUCUAGUUAUGGGAAUUCAUCUUGCUUUGAGAGGACCAAGUGGUAUCAUACGUUUAGGUGAUCCAGUUUACGUAGAUGUUCCGUAGGAAGAAAAAACGCCUGUGCACACACCGAUGGGUUUCUUGCGAGGAUGAGAUUAUUUGCAACGAAGAAAAUUUUCUUGUAGGAGACCAUAACUCGUGACGUGAUCAAAUUAGAAGAAAUCGACAAAAGUAAUCUUCCCCGUGUUUCCCUUAUAAUUUAACAUUUUAUUUCAGAAGAAAAAGAAGAAGUAGGUUUAAUAAGAAUUUUAUUCGAAGUAAUAUUUCGGUAUAAUGAUUGUUUAUAAGGAUUUACUAUAAUCGGAUUGUACGUAGUAACAUACGUAUGUAAAAUAAUUGUCUGUUAAUUAGAGUAUAACUCAUUUUGUUGUAAUCUAUUUGAUUACA
rnacentral:lncRNA from 1 species